UGUUGUGCUUGUGUUUGCUAGUGCUAUUUAUCUUAUCAAUCACUGCUCCAACACCCACCAAGAAAUUGCUAAAACUGAGACCAACUUCCGAUUAGGAUCCCUCAAAAUUAAAAGGGAACAAAUUACAACCCGCAAAAAGACGACACGUGUCAAACCCUUUUUCGUCCAUGGUUCACUUGUGUGAAGAUGAAACGAUGUGUUAUUCGAGCCAUCGUCUGAUGACCGUUGACCAGCAAAGCCAGACCAGACCACCAAAUAUUCCGCGUUCGACAACACCCCCAUUCAUUAUCAUUAGGGAGCGAAAUUUGGGAGAGAAAGAUCGGGAGAGAAAGAUCGGGUUGCUUGCUGGUAAGCAUUUGUAAAUUGACCUGUCAUUUACGACGCGUGUCGAGUGGACUGGACACACUGUUGAAAUUCUGAAGGACCAUUAGUGACCAUAAAAUAAGUACAUAGACAAAAUUACACCUCCUCCACUACCCAAAACGUCAAAGGAAACAAUGGAGAAAAUUGUGGGUUUACACAAAAGGAUGAACUUUGAUGAUUGCAUGAUCACCAGAUAUGUUCAUCCAUUUUCGCAUUUCCCCACCCAGAUUUCUAAACAGACAAUGAAAUAAAUAUGUAUAUUGGA